CCUACGGGAGGCAGCAGUGAGGAAUAUUGGUCAAUGGCCGGAAGGCUGAACCAGCCAAGCCGCGUGAAGGACGAAGGUGCCAAGCAUUGUAAACUUCUUUUGUCAAGGGACAAAAUCAGGCUCGAGAGCAUGACCGAGGGUACUUGAAGAAAAAGCAUCGGCUAACGCCGUGCCAGCAGCCGCGGUACUACGGUGGAUGCGAGCGUUAUCCGGAUUUAUUGGGGUAAAAGGGUGCGUAGGCGGACUGUAAAGUCAGCGGUAAAAUUUCGGGGCACAACCCCGUCGUGCCGUUGAAACUGGCGAUCUUGAGUGAGCGAGAAGUAUGCGGAAUUCGAGGUGUAGCAGUGAAAU
rnacentral:rRNA from 1 species